ACUUGAUAAUGUGGGCAUUUACGGGGCAAGUCCCUAAAGCGCUCCCAAGUCUCGAAAAAGAGUUCCCCAUCCAUCUGUGAAAAACUCGUGAUGGCCUUCUGAAGCU